UACGGAGGGUGCGAGCGUUAAUCGGAAUUACUGGGCGUAAAGCGCACGUAGGCGGCUUGGUAUGUCGGGUGUGAAAUCCCCGGGCGUCAACCUGGGAACGUGCAUCCGAAACUAGCCUUGCUAGAGUAUGGGAGAGGGAAGUGGAAUUUCCGGUGUAGCGGUGAAAUGCGUAGAUAUCGGAAGGAACAUCAGUGGCGAAGGCGACUUCCUGGACCAAUACCGACGCUCAGGUGCGAAAGCGUGGGGAGCAAACAGGAUUAGAUACCCGUGUAGU
rnacentral:rRNA from 1 species